rnacentral:rRNA from 1 species
AACGAACGCUGGCGGCGUACUUAACACAUGCAAGUCGGACGAGAAAGGAGACUUUGGUCUCUGAGUACAGUGGCGCACGGGUGCGUAACACGUAAGUAAUCUACCCCGAACUCUGGGAUAACCCUCCGAAAGGAGGGCUAAUACUGGAUAGGGUCCCCGAGGUGUAGGCUGCGGGGGGAAAACGGGCCUCUGUUUCAUGCUCGUGGUUUGGGAUGAGCUUGCGGCCCAUUAGCUAGUUGGUAAGGUAAUGGCUUACCAAGGCAACGAUGGGUAGCUGGUCUGAGAGGAUGAUCAGCCACACUGGCACUGAGACACGGGCCAGACUCCUACGGGAGGCAGCAGUGGGGAAUUUUGCGCAAUGGGCGAAAGCCUGACGCAGUAACGCCGCGUGGAGGAUGAAGGCCUUCGGGUUGUAAACUCCUGUCAGGAGGAACGACGGGGAAGGGGUGAUAAACCCUUUCCUCCAGACGGUACCUCCAAAGGAAGCCCCGGCUAAUUC